AUUAUUGUUAUGAUACCAUCUUUGCUUGAGAAAUGUUAUAUUUUUAUUGACCAUAUCGUAAAUUCUAUCUUUGAUGAUUUCCCUUAGAUUAGCUUUUUCGUCAAUUAGAUCUUUAUUAACCAUAUUCUUGUUUAAAUUUUCUUUUAAGCUCCAGUUUAACCGCACGUCCAAAAAUAUUGAAAAAGCACUUAAGUGCUGGCUGGUCUUGUUACAGGAUGAGAUUUUAAAACAUGUAUUACCAAACACACCUAAGGUUAGUUUUAAUAAAGCUAAAAGUUUUAAGUCCUAUUUGGCACCUAGUUUUUUACCUCCACUAAAUAAACUGAACCCAGGGUGGUUAUCCAGACCAAUUGGCUUCCACAAAUGUGGGCACUGUAAAAUGUGUACACAUCUUCCCAGGACAGUUAAGCACUUUAUGAGUACAAAUAUGGGUACAUUCUUUGAAAUUAAGCAGUUUAUAAAUUGUUUAAGUAGAAACUUCAUCUAUUUACUCCAGUGCCCCUGUGAGGCACAAUAUGUGGGCCACACAAUUAGGAAAUGGAAAGAUCGUAUUUUGAAGCAUAUACGAGCUAUUGCUAAUAAGGACACCAGACAUAGUGUUCCCUGACAUUGUAUAAACUGUAAUUUGUACAACCCCAAGGAAUUUUUAUGUGUUGGGAUAGAUCUAGUGGAUACGGAUAUCAGGAAAGGCAAUAUAACACAGAAAGUGUGCCAGCAUGAGACCACGUGGAUUUAUAAACUAAGAACACUUGAAAAUACAGGUCUGAAUAUUGAUUUGGAUAUU